GUAGGCGAGGUAUGAGUCGCUUGCUGCGUCCGACUGUCGUGGUUAGACGUCCGUAAUCAGCGCCUGUAAACUUUAUACGUACGUGUUUCUCCUUCUAAGCUAA